ensembl:Y_RNA Y_RNA Y RNA
GGCUGGUCCAAGUGCAGUGGUGUUUACAACUAAUUGAUCACAACCAGUUACGGAUUUCUUUGUUCCUUCUCCACUCCCACUGCUUCACUUGACUAGCCAAAA